rnacentral:tRNA from 1 species
GCGGGCAUGGUGAAGAGGUAUCACAGGUGCUUCCCAAGCACCAGGCACGGGUUCGAUUCCCGUUGCCCGCU